rnacentral:rRNA from 1 species
UACGUAGGGUGCAAGCGUUGUCCGGAAUCAUUGGGCGUAAAGCGCGCGUAGGCGGCCCGGUAAGUCCGCUCUGAAAAUCCAGGGCUCAACCCUGGAAAGCGGGUGGAUACUGCCGGGCUAGAAUCCGGAAGAGGCGAGUGGAAUUCCUGGUGUAGCGGUGGAAUGCGCAGAUAUCAGGAGGAACACCAAUAGCGAAGGCAGCUCGCUGGGACGGUAUUGACGCUAAGGCGCGAAAGCGUGGGGAGCAAACAGG